GCAGGACAGGCCCUUGUUGGGAAAGAGGAGGAGGCAGCCGCUUUUCAAAAUCUGGUGGGGUGGGGUGCAGAAGUGGGGCAAGAUGUUAAAGCUCCAAAGGGUUUUUCUUUUUUUCCCCCUGCUUAAGACGGAGAAGAGGGCAGUGCCGGGCUAGGGUAGAUAAGGAGCUUCAACCCUCCUCUACCUCUAGACCCUAAAAUAAGGUUGGGGUGGGGCUGGGGGGUGCCGUACACGCCCUCGCAGCUCGCUCAUGUUGGCGGGGGGGGGGGGGGGGGGGGGGGNNNNNNNNNNNNNNNNNNNNNNNNNNNNNNNNNNNNNNNNNCGCCCGGAUCCAAGACUUCUCCAGGUCAUGAGCGUGUGAAGGCCCGAGGAGCGUCAGCUCCACCCGAACUUUGCGCUGCGGCUUCCCGCCUGGAACAAAGGCAGGCUCCCCACCCUGGUCUGCGUCUGAACAUCGCAGGCACGCAGGAGUUGAGGAAGCCUUCACUCUACCCCGUGACCAAGAGAAAGCGCAGAGCCACGAAGGCUGCGUUUAGCACUGCCCCGCUUCCUGCACGGAGCGGCCGGGGCCGGGCUCUUUCAGCCCGGCUCCUGCGCUUGAGGCCACCGGGCAGCAAAAAGAGGCGGCCAGCCGACUCCUGCCUUUCGGCCGAAUGACCCACCGCUGCCGCGCCGCCACCUCUGCACCUGCCUGGCUGAGGAAAGGAAAAGAUUUCCGGGGGUUUGGAAGAAGCCAAAUCUUCCGGCUUGCCCUUGGGGCCCGCCCUAAAGAGCGCAGGAAGCCCAGUGGGUAUGUGGCGGUCGCCCUACGAGUCUUGCAGGGAAAGUUCGCUCUGCAGACGCGAGAGAAAAAACAACCACCCUCUGCCGCUUGGCUCCACAAGAACCAUGCAGCGAAAACGCAGAGGUCAGCCCCUCUCCAGGAUUCAGCCCAUCUUGGAUUCAGCUUCUUCGGCCGCACAAACUCCCAAGCUCUGAGAACACGCAGCGCACCCCGCGCGCCUCGCAGCGAAGGCACCCGGGCCACACUGCUGAGUUCUCCGCGUGGCGAAUGCGCGUCGCUUAAGGAAAGCAAUUGA
rnacentral:lncRNA from 1 species